CCUACGGGAGGCUGCAGUGGGGAAUAUUGGGCAAUGGGCGCAAGCCUGACCCAGCAACGCCGCGUGAAGGAAGAAGGCUUUCGGGUUGUAAACUUCUUUUGUCAGGGACGAAGCAAGUGACGGUACCUGACGAAUAAGCCACGGCUAACUACGUGCCAGCAGCCGCGGCAAUACGUAGGUGGCAAGCGUUAUCCGGAUUUACUGGGUGUAAAGGGCGGGUAGGCGGGGAAGCAAGUCAGAUGUGAAAACCACGGGCUCAACCUGUGGCCUGCAUUUGAAACUGGUUUUCUUGAGUGCUGGAGAGGCAAGCGGAAUUCCGUGUGUAGCGGUGAAAUGCGUAGAUAUACGGAGGAACACCAGUGGCGAAGGCGGAUUGCUGGACAGUAACUGACGCUGAGGCGCGAAAGCGUGGGGAGCGAACAGGAUUAGAUACCCGGGUAGUC
rnacentral:rRNA from 1 species